rnacentral:rRNA from 1 species
AUUGAACGCUGGCGGCAUGCCUCACACAUGCAAGUCGAACGGCAGCACGGGUGCUUGCACCUGGUGGCGAGUGGCGAACGGGUGAGUAAUACAUCGGAACGUACCUUAUCGUGGGGGAUAACGCAGCGAAAGCUGUGCUAAUACCGCAUACGCCCUGAGGGGGAAAGCGGGGGAUCGAAAGACCUCGCGCGAUUAGAGCGGCCGAUGCCUGAUUAGCUUGUUGGGGGGGUAAAAGCCCACCAAGGCGACGAUCAGUAGCUGGUCUGAGAGGACGAUCAGCCACACUGGGACUGAGACACGGCCCAGACUCCUACGGGAGGCAGCAGUGGGGAAUUUUGGACAAUGGGGGCAACCCUGAUCCAGCAAUGCCGCGUGAGUGAAGAAGGCCUUCGGGUUGUAAAGCUCUUUUGUCAGGGAAGAAACACCGGCUCUAACACAGUCCGGGAAUGACGGUACCUGAAGAAUAAGCACCGGCUAACUACGUGCCAGCCGCCGCGGUAA